rnacentral:rRNA from 1 species
GUGCCAGCAGCCGCGGUAAUACGUAGGUGGCGAGCGUUGUCCGGAAUUACUGGGCGUAAAGGAUGCGUAGGUGGAUAUUUAAGUGGGAUGUGAAAUCCCCGGGCUCAACCCGGGAACUGCAUUCCAAACUGGAUAUCUAGAGUGCAGGAGAGGAAAGCGGAAUUCCUGGUGUAGCGGUGAAAUGCGUAGAUAUUAGGAGGAACACCAGUGGCGAAGGCGGCUUUCUGGACUGUAACUGACACUGAGGCAUGAAAGCGUGGGUAGCAAACAGGAUUAGAUACCCUGGUAGUCC